ACCGGCUUUCGAGAUUCGCAUCCUGUCACCAGGUAGCUGCCCUCUGUACCGGCCAUUGUAUUACGUGUGUGGCCCAAGACGUAAGGGCCGUGAUGAUUUGACGUCAUCCCCACCUUCCUCUCUACUUGCGUAGGCAGUCCCAACAGAGUCCCCAACUGAAUGAUGGCAACUGUUGGCAGGGGUUGCGCUCGUUGCAGGACUUAACCUAACACCUCACGGCACGAGCUGACGACAACCAUGCAGCACCUUGAAAAUUGCCCGAAGGAGGAUCUAUUUCUAAAUCUGUCAAUUCCCAUUUAAGUCUUGGUAAGGUUCCUCGCGUAUCAUCGAAUUAAACCACAUAAUCCACCGCUUGUGCGGGCCCCCGUCAAUUCCUUUGAGUUUCAUCCUUGCGGACGUACUCCCCAGGUGGCUAACUUAUCACUUUCGCUUGGUCUCUGAACCCGAAGAUCCAAAAACGAGUUAGCAUCGUUUACGGCGUGGACUACCAGGGUAUCUAAUCCUGUUCGCUCCCCACGCUUUCGUCCAUCAGCGUCAGUUAAAUCUUAGUGACCUGCCUUCGCAAUCGGUGUUCUAAGUAAUAUCUAUGCAUUUCACCGCUACACUACUUAUUCCAGCCACUUCAAAUUUACUCAAGGCCUGCAGUAUCAGUGGCAGUUUCAUAGUUAAGCUAUGAGAUUUCACCACUGACUUACAGGCCCGCCUACGGACCCUUUAAACCCAAUAAAUCCGGAUAACGCUCGCACCCUCCGUAUUACCGCGGCUGCUGGCACGGAGUUAGCCGGUGCUUAUUCGUACAGUACCUUCAGCUGCCCUCACGAGGGCAGGUUUAUCCCUGUACAAAAGAAGUUUACAAUCCAUAGGACCGUCAUCCUUCACGCGGGAUGGCUGGAUCAGGCUUCCACCCAUUGUCCAAUAUUCCUCACUGCUGCCUCCCGUAGGAGUCUGGUCCGUGUCUCAGUACCAGUGUGGGGGAUCUCCCUCUCAGGACCCCUAAAGAUCAUCGACUUGGUGGGCCGUUACCCCGCCAACUAUCUAAUCUUGCGCGUGCCCAUCUCUAUCCGCCGAGGCUUUCAAUGGCGACCGAUGCCGGACACCAUAUUAUGGGGUAUUAAUCUUCCUUUCGAAAGGCUAUCCCCCAGAUAAAGGCAGGUUGCACACGUGUUACGCACCCGUACGCCGCUCUCUGGAUAGCAA
rnacentral:rRNA from 1 species